AAGUCGUAACAAGGUCUCCGUAGGUGAACCUGCGGAGGGAUCAUUCACAUGAUAUACUUUAAACAAACUGUGAACUUUAAACAAAAUACUAUUCGUGUUUAUUAUCCUUAAUUGGUUAAUCAAACAUUGUCAUUCGAUUGAACAUAAGAUAGUUGGCUUGAAAUUGUAAUUCAUUACAUUUUCUUUCUCAGCUUUGAUUUGAUAUUACUAAACAUUUUAUCACUUCAACCAUAAAACAUAGAAACAACUCUAUGCCCUGGAUAUCUUGGUUCUC
rnacentral:misc_RNA from 1 species